GAUAUACAAUCAAUGGUGUUCACAAUACAAAUCAGAUACAGACUCUAAAGACUCUAGAAUUUCUAAGAUAUGAGCUUUGAUAAGAAAUUCUAAGAGAACUUUGAAUGCAGAACAAUUUCAGCAGAGUUUUGGCUCAGUUAAUUCUUGGUAUUGUUCUUAUAAAACUCUGAGUCUUCACUCCUUUAUAUAGAGGUGUGAAAGAGAUAUUGAAUUGCCAGCACAUCCAAAAUAGAGUCGUUUGAAGCUUUUGAUCAAUCACCAAUGAUUCUUUGCCUGAUAUGGUUAUUGUUCUACGAAGGAUCAAUUUCAAAUGUAUUCCCAUUGAGAAGGAACAAUGCUGUAGGCAGAGCUGUUUUUCUUGUUUUGUAGUAGAGACAAAAAUAGAGUAGUGGAGAUAUUGGUUGUACACUUCGUACAAACGUACUAUGUCAACGCUCUUUGAAGAAUAAGCAUCCAAUGUCUUCUAAUCUUUCCAAAAUAGUUGUUGCUAUAUUUUUCCAGUCUUCUGCAAUCUUCAGACGAGUUUGAAUCCGUUAAACAGCUUUUGAAGCUUUAAGUUGCAUCUCCUAAUGAACUACAACUUCUAGUGAUCUUCAGCUUCUAAUAAACUUGCUUCUGAUGAACUUGCAUCUGAUUACCUUGCUUCUGAUGACGUCAUCACUUCAGGAGCACUUUGUCUUCAAGAGCGUUUUAACUUCAGGAGCAGUUUUCUUCAGACGCUUUAAGCAUCACUUUUUUUUGUUGAUGUAAUUGCUCUUUAUUUGUUCUUCCAAGACCUUUUUAUGAUGUCAAAUUUUUGUCUAUAAUCCUAUACACUUGAACAAAUAUUAGCAUAUUCAGUUGACAAUUUUAAUACUUUGUUAUCAUCAAAACUCUUAAGGGUUAUUAUUGCUAAACACAUUUUGUUCCCACAAUCUCCCCCCUUUUGAUGAUGACAAACAAUAGUAUUUAAAAUGUUCAAUUGUUGUUAAUUUAAUUAACACGUUGACUUUAAGGGUAUGAGGUUUGUAAGCUCCCCUUGAGUCCAAUAGUUCUUUAAGGUGAGGUUUGUAAGUUCCCCCUGAUUUCUAUCCAUGUUUAUUAAAUUCAUCAUUAAAUUCGCACUAAUUCUCAUAAUAAACUCACAAUAAAAGACUAAGAGAUUAGAAGAUGGUCCUAUUAAUUUAACUUGAUUAGAAUUAAAUUAAUGGGGCUCAGAGCAUAUAAAUAAUAUACAUCUACUCCCCCUUUUAUCAUCAACAAAAAGUAUAAAAUAAGACAAAACGAAAGAGAUAAAAAAAUAGUGAGAGAUUCUGAAGAAUAUAUAUAUCAGAGCAACCAAUGAAACAAGAAGUAUACAAGAAGUUCAGAAACAAUGAAACACAGCAUACAAGAAGAUUCAGAAGCAAAUUAGAAAGUGCAGAAGUAAACAACUUAGAAGAUAAAACUAAACAAGCUUAAAAAAAUAGGUGUGCAACUAAGGUUGAGCUUGUUUUUGAAUCAUCUCCAUCAUAUAUUGCAUCAUUCUUUGGGUUUCAUCUGCCUUUCUGUUCAUCUCUUGCUUAAAUUCUUGCAACUUAGCAUCUGUGGACAUCUUGUAUUUAAGCAUGAGUAGCUUCUGAUUGAGAAGUUCCUUUCUCAGUUGCUUGUUUUCCCUUUCAAGUUCUACAUUCCUUUGCAAAAGCUCCAAUUCAGUAGAAGCAGACUUGAAGUAAAUCUUCUGGAGAAAAGUUAAAUCCAAUUCUCUUGGAUGCACUCCUACUGGAAUGAAAUCUGUUGGAUUUCUUUUUCUUAGACAUGGAGGAGAUUACACCCAAGUUCUUAGAACUUUCACUUUCUUCAGAUCCUGGUCAAUCCCUUUGAGCCAGUUCUGGAAUUUCAACUGAGCAGCAUCUUGAGCUUCCAUGCAGGUUUCCUGUAGAGCAGUCAGAACAUAGUCUACUAUUUCCUUCAGCCUAUUCCAAUGUUGUUCCUAAUUAUGCUUAUGAAUCAUCUCUUCUCUAUCUUGAAUCAGAUUAGUCAGUUCCUUGUAAAUAUUUUCACACACAUCUGACAAAAGUGUAGAAUCAAGAAAGAUUGUUGGUGGAGAAUGUAUUUUUGGUUGUUUGGUUGGGGCUAUUGGUUGAAUGGCUAAGGAAGUUGAAGGUUGGCUGUUUGUAGAGAUGGGAGUUUGACUAGUUUGAUUUGUUUGAUCAGAACCAGACUCCAUGAUUACAUCAGAAGAAGAGUUUUUAGGCUCUUCCUCAACAUCAGAGGCAUCUGAUGUGAUCAUACGUUAUGAUUCAGAAUUUGGUUAGGAGAUAGUUGGUGAAGAGGGUUGUUGUUUAGAAACAAGUUGUUCAAAAGUGGUUUGUUGUAAUGUUUCUGAUAGAGGUUGUUCAUAAGCAAAUUAUUCAGGAACAUUUUGUUCAGAAGUGGGAAUGGUUUCAGGUUGUUGUUGUUGGGGUCUUCUGAAAUAACUUCUUCUGAAGCUACUUCAGAGGCUCUUUGUGGUUCAGGGUUGGUUUCAGGUUGAAUCACAUUGAGAAGUUGGAUGUAUGAUGGUUGGAAAGGAUGAUCAAGAGGUAGAUGUUGACAAACAUCUAUUUUCCUUUGAGAUAGAUUUCCAAUCCUUUCAUCUGGAGUAGGAACCAUAGGUUCAUAGGUUGAAGUUUUCAACUUUGGCUUUUUAUGGAUCUUGGAGGUUGGUGAAGGGCUUUUGUGAAUAGUUGGAUACAACUCUUCUAAUGACAUGUCAUCUAAAUUUAAAGAGGAUGGGGAUGAUGAUGAUUCAGAUGAAAUGGAGGAGGUUGAGUCUGAUUCUACAACUAUUACUUUUUCAGAGUGAGGAGAAUUGGAAAUAUCUUGAUGACUAUCUGAGAUAGUAGCUUCUGAAGAACCAGUAGCUGUGUUCAACAGAUGUUCUGCUUCAGAAGCUAUCAGACCUUGUACUUCUUCAGCAACUUUUAGCACUUGCUCAACAUCUGCACCCACAUCUUCCUUUACUAUGAUGGAUGCAGGGAUCUCUGUCUGCUUUGCAAUCUCUAAGGCCUUCUGGAUUGCAAUCUCCUCAGCUUGCUUCUUCCUUAGUUCUCUUGUAACUAAGUCAGGUGCAGCCUCUUCUCCCUCUUCUUCUUCAGAUGCAGCUGAUGCCAUUAUUAGCUUUCUGAUAGCAUGCUUCCUCUUUUUCUUUGAAAUAGCAGGCUGCUCAGGAGCUUCUUGAGAGGUUGCAGCUUCCUUGCUACUUCUGGUCCUAUUUUCCAAGAUCUCUUCAGCAUUAAGAUCCUGAACUUCCUCUUGAAUUGUUGGCAAUUCAGAGCCAGCAAUCUGUUCAGAUGAGGACGUCUCCUUUUUGUACUUCUUUGCUUUCUUAGAGGUUUGUUCAGAAGCUUCCUCUAAGUAAGCAUCCUUGCUGAUGACCUUCCUUUUUGUUUUCCUGCUCUUGGCUACAGGCAAGGCUCCUCCAUACAUUGUCUCAGGUACAUCCCUCAGACUGAUUUUUGUGCUUGUUAUUGCAAAGUGUUCCUUGAUGAAGUGCAUCUGAACAUCAAGUGGAUCUUGUUUGCAGAUUGGAGGAAAGUCCUUCAUGAUAGCUGAGACUACAUCAGAUUCCUUCAUAUCUGUGCUUAGUCUUUUGUAAUUUUCCUUACUGUUUAACCUCAUCUUUAUCAAAGUUUCUCCACUGAUGAUUUUCCCAGUUUCAGUUCCCAACUGAUCAUCAGUGAAGAAAUCCACCUUGCAAAGAAGGUUUAUGAGUCCUCCUUGGUGGAAUAUCUCUGAGAAGAGCCUUCCAUAUGGUACCCAACAUAUGUUCUUCAGCUGGCUCUCCCUUAGCUGUUGAAUCAUGUGCCUGAAGAUGUAUCUUGGCACAUUUGCUGGUUCACCAGUGAUGAAGAGAUGAAGAAGUAUCUUGUGCUCCAAUGAUGGUUGAUCACUGCCACCACCUUUUGGUAGCAGAUUAUCAUUCUGAAUCUUCAGCAUCAUUUUCUUUUCCAUGCUCAUAUCAGCAUAGACGCCCUUCUCCUUGCUAUUAAAGAUUGACUGAUUGACAAUCUGAUUCCAGGAGUUAUUCUUAGCACUCUUGAUUCCUCUCCUAUAAGUUCCUUUUGUAGGUCUUCUGAGGACGAAGGCUAUAACUUGUUCUGAAAUAGCAACAUGGAUACCCAUGAUGCUUGACCCGAUUUUAAUUCUUUCAAAGGGUUCCAAACCCAUUUCUUCCCUUGAUUUCCCUUUAAGUUCUGGAUGUAAGAACUUUUUCAUCUUAUUCUAGUUUGACUGCUUCUUUGUCAUAGACGAUUGCCCUAACCCAGAAGGGACGUACCAACGUCUGAUAGGUAGGUCCAUUCAUAAAAUUGAAGUAGCUUCUCAGCCCUUGUACAUCAUAGUAUUUUCCAAUGUCGCAUCCAUGGUAUGUUAGCGAAGUGAAAUCUACUGGACUUUCAGUAUGAAUUUUCAAAUCCCAUUCAUCCAAGGACAUGGUUCUUCCCUUUAUCUCAUACCUAGGAGCAGCUACUUGUUGCAUGUUAGACGAUGAUCCAGGAGUAGAACUUGAAGAAGCCAUUUGAAGAUAUAGAUGAAAUUUGAGUUUCUAGGUUUUGAGUUACGAGAUUGCGCUUACUUCGUAGAGAGUAGUUUGAGAAGAUGAAUGUGUAGGUUGUGAAGUGAGUAGUGUGUGUUUUGUCUAAGUGUUUUGAGUAAAACGUUUGCAAUUCAGAAGGGGACAAACAAACACAGCAUUAAUGAUAAUUGGGGACGCAUGAUAGUAUGUUCAAAGCAAAAAAGCAUCAUUGCCCUCCAAAGUCAUACACCAAUACAAAUAGACCACGUCAGAAGCGUUUCAGAAUAACUGCUUAGUUAGUGGGACAGAUGUUACUGAAAAGUAACUUCCAACGUUUCCACUAACACUGCUAUUCAGAAGCAAGGAAUACAACUUCUGAAGUUUAAGUGCUGACGUCAUCUUCAAAAGCACAUUUUCCUCAGAAUCUCAAUUAAGAGCUUCUGAUGGACCAUAGCUUUUGAUAAAGACUACAUAACCAAACUUCUUGUUCAGGAGUAAGCAAAUUUAAUCAGACACAAAGUGCAUGUUCAAAUUUUUCUUGAUAAAAUCAAAUCUUUCCAUAGUUAAAGGUUUAGUGAAUAUAUCAGCCCAUUGAUGUUCAGUAUCAAUGAAUUGUAUAUCUAAAAUUCCUUUUUGAACAUAGUCUCUAAUAAAGUGGUGUUUGAUUUCAAUAUGUUUGGCUCUUGAAUGCAGAAUUGGAUUCUUUGACAAACAAAUAGCAGCAGUAUUAUCACAAUAAAUGGGAAUACUGUUAGCAUUUAUCUGAUAGUCUUCCAACUGAUGUUUCAUCCAAAGUAGUUGUGUACAACAACUUGCAGCUGAGAUGUAUUCUGCUUCUAUUGUAGACAUUGCAAUAUUUUCUUGUCUUUUGCUAGCCCAGGAUAUCAGAUUCUCUCCCAGGAACUGACAGUUUCCACUGGUUGAUUUUCUUUCAAUCCUAUCACCAGCAUAGUCAGCACGACAAAAUCCAACCAACUGAUAAUCUAGAGAUUUUCUAUAGAGAAGUCCAAGAUUAGUUGUUCCUUUCAGAUACUUGAAGAUUCUCUUUACAACAAUUAAAUGAGAUUCUCUAGGAUCUGAUGGAAUCUUGCACACAAGCAUACACUGAAUUAAAUAUCUGGCCUAGAUGCAGUGAGGUAUAACAAAGAACCAAUCAUACCUCUAUAUAGCUUCUGAUUUACCUUUGAUCUAGUAUCUUCUUUGCUUAAGGUACAGGUUGGAUGCAUUGGAGUGUUCAUCAAUUUACAAUCUUCUAGCUUGAACUUCUUCAGAAGCUCCUUUGUAUAUUUUGUUUGAUGAACAUAUACUCCAUCUUUGCUUUGAUUAAUUUGAAUUCCAAGGAAGAACUUUAACUCUCCCAUCAUGCUCAUUUCAAAUUCAUCCUGCAUUAACUUAGAAAAUUCCUUGCAAAGAGAUGCAUUAGUAGAACCAAAUAUUAUAUUAUCAACAUAUAUCUGCACAACCAGAAUGUCUUUCUUAAGAGUCCUUCUAAAGAGUGUUGUGUCAACCUGACCUAUCUUAAAAUCAUUUUUGAUUAAGAAAUUACUUAGUCUAUCAUACUAAGCUUUGGGAGCUUGUUUCAAGCCAUAUAGUGAUUUCUUAAGUUUGUAAACAUGGUCAGGAUGCUUAAGAUCCUCAAAAUCAGGAGGUUGCUUGACAUACACUUCUUCUUCAAUGACACCAUUAAGAAAUUCACUAUUGACAUCCAUUUGAUAUAAUAUUAUGCCAUGAUUAACUGCAUAGGAUAGAAGUAACCUGAUUUCUUCCAAUCUUGCAACUAGAGCAAAUGUUUCAGUGUAAUCAAUGCCUUCUUGUUGACUAUAACCUUGUGUAACAAGUUUGGCUUUGUUUCUGGUUACUUCACCUUGUUCAUUCAACUUGUUUCUGAAUACCCAUUUUGUUUAAAUAAUGUUCUUCUGCUGAGGUUUGGGUACCAAAUCCCACACAUCAUUCCUUUGAAACUGAUUUAGCUCUUCUUGCAUAGCUAAUAUUCAUCCAUCAUCUGAAAGUUCUUCAUCAACUGUUUUAGGUUCAAUCACUGACAACAAUCCUAUCAUAGACUUUUCUUGUCUGAAAUAUGAUCUUGUUCUUCUGGGACUAUCUUUGUUUCCAAUAAUUAAAUCCUCAGGAUGUGAAGACUUGUGCUUGAAUUUGGAUUGAACAACUUGCUGAGAGACAUCUUGAAUUUCUUCAGAAGCAUUUUCAUUUUGUGCUUCUGAGGUUGGUUCAGCUUAUGGAGUGGGUUGAGCUUCUGGACUUUCUUCAGAUUCAUCUUUCUGGUCAGAUUCUGAAGUGUCCUCAGUAAUUUGUAUAUCUAAAAAACUUUCAUCUUGCUUUGGAGUUUCACUUCCAGGCUCCUUGUCAUCAAAUUUAACGUGCAUUGAUUCUUCAACACAUAGUGUCUCUAAAUUAUACACUCUGUAUGUCUUUGACCUUUGAGAGUAACCUAGAAAGAUUCCUCUUUGGGCCUUGGCAUCAAAUUUCUUUAGGUAGAGUUUGUUAUUUAGAAUGUAAUAGGUACAUCCAAAUUGAUGAAAGUAAGAGAUAUUGGAUCUUCUUCUCUUAAAGAGUUCAUAUGCUGUUUUCUCCAAGAUAGGUCUGAUAUAGAUUCUAUUUUGGACAUAACAUGUUGUAUUCACUGCUUCUGCCUAGAAAUAGUUAGCCAAAUUGUUUUUAUGAAUCAUCGUUCUAGCCAUUUCUUGUAAAGUUCUAUUCUUUCUCUCUACAAGUCCAUUUUGUUGUGGAGUUCUAGGAGAAGAGAAUUCAUGGACAAUUCCAUUUUUUUCACAAAAAAUUUCAAAUGGCUCAUUUUCAAAUUCACCACCAUGAUCACUUCUGACUUUCAAAAUUUUCAUUUCUAUUUCAGAUUGUAUUUGAGUGCAGAAUCUACUAAAUACAUCACAUGCACAAUCCUUACUUUUUAGGAAUUUUACCCAAGUCCAUCUGUUGUAAUCAUCAACAAUGACUAAUCCAUAUUUACUUCCAUAUAAGGAUGCAGUGUUAACUGGUCCAAAUAAAUGAAUAUGAAAUAAUUCUAAGGGUAUGGAGGUUGAAACAAUGUCUUUUGCUUUAAAAGAUGAUUUCACAAUCUUCCCUUUCUGGCAUGCACCACAAAGUGCAUCUGAAUGAUAAUCAAUGUUAGGUAGGCCUUUAACCAGUUGUAACUUGCUAAGCUUAGAGAUUAACCUCCAGUUAGCAUGUCCCAACCUUCUGUGCCACAUCCAUUUCUUAUCAUUCACUGAAAGAAGGCAAACUACCUUCUGAUCAACUAAUUCAGAAAAAUUGAUUUUAUAGACAUUUCCAACUCUCUUUCCAUUGAAUAUUAUGGAUUUUCCGUCCUUUUUUAUUACAGUGCAACUGGUCUUAUCAAACAUCACAUCAUAACCAUUAUCACAGAAUUGAAUGAUACUUAACAGGUUAUGUUCAAGACCAUCUACCAGCCACACAUUAUUAAUUGAGCUAGAGGAGUUACCAAUAGUUCAUGUACCAAUGAUCUUGCAAGGUUGGCUGCCACCAAACUUCACAUUGCCUCCUUCUUUCAUUGUAAAGGUGAGGAACAUAGACUUCUCUCAUGUCAUGUGCCUUGAGCAACCGCUGUCUAGGUACCAUGAUUUUUGCUUUACUUUUGGUCUUAGACAUAUCUGCAAUAUUGGCAUUUUUGGAUUUAGGUAUCCAUUGUUUUAUGGGUCCUUUGGGAUUAGUUCUGGAAGUUUUGCUCUUCACACCUUGUACUUUGUGUUGUGAGUUUGACUACUUCUGAUUACUCAUUACCUUAGGUUCUGAGUUCUCAGUGGCAUCAACUGCUUUCUUCUUCUGAACCCCAGACUUUAAGAUGCCAGCUUCUGGUUUCAUCAGAUCCUGAGGAACAGGUUCUGAUCUCUUCAGAAGCUUAAUCUUUGGAGUCUUUGAUUCAGAAGCUGUCAUUGCCUUACGCUUAGAAUUCUUUGGCUUUGAAUUAAUCACAGCCUUAGAACUAGAAGCUUCUGGUUCUGACUGAACAACACUCUUAGGUACAAAGGUGGUUUUCAAACCUUCGUUAAUAUAUUCACAACAAGCUUUGAGACUGAUUUCAUUAGGUUUCCCUUAUGAAAAACCAAUCCCUCUGCCAUUGUUUCUGUAAAUGUUGUAUAUCAUAGAAGCGACUUUGCUUCUAUCAAUACCAGAUAUAAUGUACUCCUCAAGAGCAAUUUCCUCUUUGCUUAAAGAUUUUCCACUACACUUUUCUUGUAGCUUCUGACAAAGGUGGUUGAGUUUUUCUUCAUAAGUUCUACAAAUGAAGUCAAACCCUUUAAGCCCUUCUUCAGAAGCUUUCAGAUCCAAUAGAGUUGAUUCUUGUUGCUUCAUCAAAGCAACAUAUUUUUCUUUUAAAUCUAUCAACUAAUUGGUUCUGUAUUCAAAGUGUGUAAGAAGUUCUUUAAGAGACUCAAUUAAUUCCUCUCUGGGAAAUUUAGAAUAUACAUCAUUUUCAUCUUCAGAAUCUGAAUCAGUAUCUGCUUCUGAAGUCACUGUAGCCACUAACCCAACAACUACUUUAGCAUCUUCUUCAGAAUCUUCCUUUUUAGAGUCUGAUUCACUAUCUAAAUCCUCCCAUGUUGCCAUUAAGGUCUUUUUAAUUUGCUUCCUGAAUUUCCUUGUAUUGAAGCUAGAUUUCUUUGUCUUGUCCUUGGAUUUUUCCUUCUGAAGAUCAGGGCAAUCCGCAAUGAAGUGUCCAAGCUUCUUCCAGUUGAAGCAUCCCUUCUGAUCUUCCUUCUUGAAGUUCUUGUAGGCAUUUUUCUUCAUCAGAAACUUCAUAUUCUUCUUUGCCAGAUACUCCAGCUUGUUUGAGAGCAUAUCCAUCUUCUUAGUAGGAUCUUCAUCAAAAUCCCCAUCAGGUGAUUCUUCUUCAGAUUCCACAACCUUUAAAGCUUUUGAUGACUUUCCUCUUGAUGGUAGAGCAAUGGAUUUGCUUUUCUUGGAAGAUUCAUGUUCAUUAAUACUUAUCUCAUGAACUUUGAGAGAGCUGACAAGAUCCUCAACACUUAAAGUGUUUAAAUCUUUAGCUUCCUCAAUAGCAGUCACCUUUGGUCUCCAUCUAGCAGGUAAGCUUCUAAGUAUCUUGCUCACAUGAUCAGAAGCUACAUAGAUUUUCUUCGGUAUUUAAAGCCCAGAAACUAGAGUCUGAAAUCUUAAGUACAUUUGCUCAAUACUUUCAUCAUAUUUCAUUUUAAACAGCUCAUACUGAUGAACAAGCAUAUUUCUUACUGCCUACAUAGUUAGCACAGAGAGAAGCAAACGUUGGUCUAGUAGUGGAUUUGUCACUCAUCUUCAUAUACUCUGCUUUAGGUAUAGCUUUGACAAGUACUCCUCUGAUUAUGUGAUGCUUCUUGUAGAGUUUCUUCUGAUCAGGAGUAUGCUUUUUCUCCUAUCAAUGGCAGCUCCUUCUUCGUCAACGACCAAGUCACCAAUACCAUCUUCUAGUAUGUCCCAUAGCUCUUCGUCUAAACCCAUGACAUGACUGUAGAAGUUGGUUUUCCACCAGGAAAAUUCUUCAGGAUCUCCAUUGAACUUUGAAACUUUUCCAUAGUCAGAUUUCUUGUUGCUGCCAUAGUCAUAUGGAAUAGCACUACUUCUCGUACUGGAUUCAGGUUCUGCACUAGCACCAUACAUGUUUUUCUCAGAUCUUUCUCUGUUACACUGUUAAGUGUUUGACAACAGACCAAGGCUCUAGAUACCAAUUGAAGGUGAGAAAAACACAAGAAGGGGGUUGAAUUGUGUUGGCUUUUUCUUGUUUUUCUCCUAACUGAAAAUACAGAUCAGAAGCAGAUAGAGUUCUACUUCUGAAGAGAUGUUCAGACUAAUUGCAGCGGAUAAAACAGAGAGAGAGAGAGAGAGAGAGAGAGAGAGAGAGAGAGAGAGAAAAGACACAAGCAAUUUAUACAGGUUCCUUCCACAAACCGGAAGUCAGUCCUGUCCCCCUUGCACUUCCAAGGAGAGUUCACUAUGUAAUAUCUGAUUACAAAUGCUCACUACUAAACUUAUUAAGAGACUUCAAAUGCUCAAGCACAACUGCAAGAGACUUCCUAUGCUCCUGAACACAAUCAAGAGACUUAUAUUGCUCAAGCACAACUACAAGAGACGUCUAUUGCUCAAGCACAAAUGCAAGAGACUUUUGAAUUCAAACAGAAUUACAAAGAAAAUUGUUUGAAGUUGAACACUUGAUAUACAAUCACCGGUGUUCACUAUACAAAUCAGAUAUAGACUCUAAAGACUCUAGAAUUUCUAAGACAUGAGCUUUGAUAAGAAAUUCUAAGAGAACUUUGAAUGCAGGACAAUCUGAGUCUUCACUCCUUUAUAUAGAGGUGUGAAAGAGACGUUGAAUUGCCA
rnacentral:lncRNA from 1 species